GGAGGGUGCGAGCGUUAAUCGGAAUUACUGGGCGUAAAGCGCGCGUAGGUGGCUUGAUAAGCCGGUUGUGAAAGCCCCGGGCUCAACCUGGGAAUGGCAUCCGGAACUGUCAGGCUAGAGUGCAGGAGAGGAAGGUAGAAUUCCCGGUGUAGCGGUGAAAUGCGCAGAGAUCGGGAGGAAUACCAGUGGCGAAGGCGGCCUUCUGGACUGACACUGACACUGAGGUGCGAGAGCGUGGGUAGCAAACAGGAUUAGAUACCCUGGUAGUCCACGCCGUAAACGAUGAGAACUAGACGUUGGCUGACAUAGUCGGCCAGUGUCGCAGCAAACGCGUUAAGUUCUCCGCCUGGGGAGUACGCCGGCAACGGUA
rnacentral:rRNA from 1 species